rfam:Oryza rufipogon genomic scaffold, chr04
UUUAAGUGCAGUUGUGAAUUUCUGUGUCUAACUUUUGACCGUCUAUAUUAUUUAAUUUUUCUAUGAUUAGAAUUUUUAUUGUUAUUAGAUAAUAAUAAAACAUGAAUAAUACUUUAUACGCGACUUACUUUUUAUUUUUUAUAAAAUUUUUAAAUAAAACGGACGGUUAAACGUUGGACAGAAACCCGUUUAAA